ACGGCUGCUAAUACCGCAUAAGCGCACAGUACCGCAUGGUACGGUGUGAAAACUCCGGUGGUAUGAGAUGGACCCGCGUCUGAUUAGGUAGUUGCUGGGGUUACGGCCUACCAAGCCGACGAUCAGUAGCCGACCUGAGAGGGUGACCGGGCACAUGGGGACUGAGACACGGUCCAAACUCCUACGGGAGGCAGCAGUGGGGAAUAUUGCACAAUGGGGGAAACCCUGAUGCAGCGACGCCGCGUGAGCGAUGAAGUAUUUCGGUAUCGUAAAGCUCUAUCAGCAGGGACGACCAAUGAGCGGUACCUGACUAAGAAGCCCCGGCUAACUACCGUGCCAAGCAGCCGCGGUAAUACGUAGGGGGCAAGCGUUAUCCGGAUUUACUGGGUGUAAAGGGAGCGUAGACGGCAUCGCAAGCCAGAUGUGAAAGCCCGGGGCUCAACCCCGGGACUGCAUUUGGAACUGUCAGGCUAGAGUGUCGGAGAGGAAAGCGGAAUUCCUAGUGUAGCGGUGAAAUGCGUAGAUAUUAGGAGGACACCAGUGGCGAAGGCGGCUUUCUGGACGGUGACUGACGUUGAG
rnacentral:rRNA from 1 species